rnacentral:rRNA from 1 species
GAUGAACGCUGGCGGCGUGCCUAACACAUGCAAGUCGAACGGAGUCCAGCCUUUAAGACCUUCGGGUCAAAGAGGGGAAGACUGAGUGGCGGACGGGUGAGUAACACGUGGGCAACCUGGCUCAUAGAGGGGGAUAACAGAGAGAAAUUUCUGCUAAUACCGCAUAAGCACACACUGCCGCAUGGCAGAGGGUGAAAAGAGAAUCGCUAUGAGAUGGACCCGCGUCUGAUUAGCCAGUUGGUAGGGUAAGAGCCUACCAAAGCGACGAUCAGUAGCCGAUCUGAGAGGAUGAACGGCCACAUUGGGACUGAGACACGGCCCAAACUCCUACGGGAGGCAGCAGUGGGGGAUAUUGCACAAUGGGGGGAACCCUGAUGCAGCGACGCCGCGUGAGUGAAGAAGUAUUUCGGUAUGUAAAGCUCUAUCAGCAGGGAAGAUAAUGACAGUACCUGAAGAAGAAGCCCCGGCUAACUACGUG